rnacentral:rRNA from 1 species
UACGAAGGGGGCGAGCGUUGUUCGGAAUUACUGGGCGUAAAGGGCUCGUAGGCGGCCAACUAAGUCGGAUGUGAAAUCCCCAGGCUCAACUUGGGAACUGCAUCCGAUACUGGAUGGCUUGAAUUCGGGAGAGGGAUGCAGAAUUCCAGGUGUAGCGGUGAAAUGCGUAGAUAUCUGGAGGAAUACCGGUGGCGAGGGCGGCAUCCUGGACCGACAUUGACGCUGAUGAGCGAAAGCUAGGGGAGCAAACGGG